rnacentral:rRNA from 1 species
UACGUAGGUGACCAGCGUUGUCCGGAUUUACUGGGCGUAAAGCGUGCGUAGGUGGUGAGUUAAGUCUGUCGUGAAAGCCCCGGGCUUAACCUGGGAAUGGCAUUGGUGACUGCACGGCUAGAGUGUGUCAGAGGGGGGUAGAAUUCCACGUGUAGCAGUGAAAUGCGUAGAGAUGUGGAGGAAUACCGAUGGCGAAGGCAGCCCCCUGGGAUAACACUGACGCUCAUGCAACGAAAGCGUGGGGAGCAAACAGG